GUCGAACGGUGUCUUCGGACACAGUGGCGGACGGGUGAGUAACGCGUGAGAAUCUGCCUAUAGGACGGGGAUAACGACUGGAAACGGUCGCUAACACCCGAUGAGCCGAGAGGUAAAAUAUUUAUAGCCUAUAGAUGAGCUUGCGUCCGAUUAGCUAGUUGGAGUGGUAAUGGCACACCAAGGCGACGAUCUGUAGCUGGUCUGAGAGGAUGACCAGCCACACUGGAACUGAGACACGGUCCAGACUCCUACGGGAGGCAGCAGUGGGGAAUUUUCCGCAAUGGGCGCAAGCCUGACGGAGCAAGACCGCGUGGGGGAUGAAGGUUUGUGGAUUGUAAACCCCUUUUGACAGGGAAGAUGAUGACGGUACCUGUCGAAUCAGCAUCGGCUAACUCCGUGCCAGCAGCCGCGGUAAUACGGAGGAUGCAAGCGUUAUCCGGAAUUAUUGGGCGUAAAGUGUCCGUAGGUGGUUAUUCAAGUCUGCUGUCAAAGCGCGAGGCUUAACUUCGUAAGGGCAGUGGAAACUGAACGACUAGAGUGUGGUA
rnacentral:rRNA from 1 species